rnacentral:rRNA from 1 species
AACGAACGCUGGCGGCAUGCCUAACACAUGCAAGUCGAACGAGACCUUCGGGUCUAGUGGCGCACGGGUGCGUAACGCGUGGGAAUCUGCCCUUGGGUUCGGAAUAACAGUUGGAAACGACUGCUAAUACCGGAUGAUGACGUAAGUCCAAAGAUUUAUCGCCCAGGGAUGAGCCCGCGUAGGAUUAGCUAGUUGGUGGGGUAAAGGCCUACCAAGGCGACGAUCCUUAGCUGGUCUGAGAGGAUGAUCAGCCACACUGGGACUGAGACACGGCCCAGACUCCUCGGGAGGCAGGAGGUGGGAAUAAUGGACCAUGGGCGAAAGGCCUAACCCGCCAAGGCGGGGUAGUUAAUGAGGGCCUUGGGUUUGUAAACCUCUUUACCCGGGAUGAUAAUGACAGUACCGGGAGAAUAAGCCCCGGCUAACUCCGUG